CACCGAAACAAGCCAGUGUCGCCGUCAGCCCCGUAAAAACAUCAAAUUGACGCGAAAGCCCAGUUCUGGGGGAUCGAUUACUGAGGGGGGAAAGGAAGGGGGAAGUCUGAACCUGCCGAGGUGGUUGUGCAUGAAGUAGGGGUCCUUGGCGAGAUCGAUGGUCUCGAAGGCGCGGCGGCGGAGGCGCUCGCGGCGGUCAAUGGCUUCGUUCUAGGCUGAGGCGGCGCCCCCGCUCCCGGGCUUCGAACCUCAUUCCCGAUCCAUUCUCUCGCCGUUGUUGCGGCAUCGCGGGCUUUGGGGCACGGCUUCGGGCGCGACUUCGAGUCACGGCGAAGGCAGAGCAGUGGCGUCGCGGGCUGCAGGCGAGGUGCGGCGAAGGCAGCAGUGGGCCGAGCAGGAGCGACGUCGGGGCAUGGCGAAGGCACGGUAGAGCAGCGGCGUCGCGGGCUGCAGGCGAGGCGCGGCGAAGGCAGCAGCGGGCGGAGCAGGAGCGACGUCAAUGCGGGCUGUAGGCGAGGCGCGGCGGGGAUGCUAUUUGGUGGCGUCGAGCAGAGGGCGAAGAGAGAACAGACUCGUGGGUGAAGCAGCAACCAGAAAGAGGAAGAAGAAGAAGAAGAAGAAUGGGGGGUUUCGACCGAGAGAGGGGGUAAGAGGAGAGAGAGAAGAAAAGAAAAAGUAGGGGUAGGGGGGCAGGAAGUGACGUGUGAGAAGGAAAAAGAAGAGAAAAG
rnacentral:lncRNA from 1 species